AUUGAACGCUAGCGGGAUGCCUUACACAUGCAAGUCGAACGGCAGCACGGACUUCGGUCUGGUGGCGAGUGGCGAACGGGUGAGUAAUGUAUCGGAACGUGCCUAGUAGCGGGGGAUAACUACGCGAAAGCGUAGCUAAUACCGCAUACGCCCUACGGGGGAAAGCAGGGGAUCGCAAGACCUUGCACUAUUAGAGCGGCCGAUAUCGGAUUAGCUAGUUGGUGGGGUAACGGCUCACCAAGGCGACGAUCCGUAGCUGGUUUGAGGGGACGACCAGCCACACUGGGACUGAGACACGGCCCAGACUCCUACGGGAGGCAGCAGUGGGGAAUUUUGGACAAUGGGGGAAACCCUGAUCCAGCCAUCCCGCGUGUGCGAUGAAGGCCUUCGGGUUGUAAAGCACUUUUGGCAGGAAAGAAACGUCAUGGGUUAAUACCCCGUGAAACUGACGGUACCUGCAGAAUAAGCACCGGCUAACUACGUGCCAGCAGCCGCGGUAAUACGUAGGGUGCAAGCGUUAAUCGGAAUUACUGGGCGUAAAGCGUGCGCAGGCGGUUCGGAAAGAAAGAUGUGAAAUCCCAGAGCUUAACUUUGGAACUGCAUUUUUAACUACCGAGCUAGAGUGUGUCAGAGGGAGGUGGAAUUCCGCGUGUAGCAGUGAAAUGCGUAGAUAUGCGGAGGAACACCGAUGGCGAAGGCAGCCUCCUGGGAUAACACUGACGCUCAUGCACGAAAGCGUGGGGAGCAAACAGG
rnacentral:rRNA from 1 species